rnacentral:rRNA from 1 species
UGAGGAAUAUUGGUCAAUGGGCGCAAGCCUGAACCAGCCAAGUCGCGUGAGGGAAGACGGUCCUAUGGAUUGUAAACCUCUUUUGUCAGGGAGCAGGCGCGGGACGCGUCCCGUCGUUGAGAGUACCUGAAGAAAAAGCAUCGGCUAACUCCGUGCCAGCAGCCGCGGUAAUACGGAGGAUGCGAGCGUUAUCCGGAUUUAUUGGGUUUAAAGGGAGCGUAGGCGGGCUAUUAAGUCAGCUGUGAAAUCCGGCGGCUCAACCGUCGGCCUGCAGUUGAUACUGGUGGCCUUGAGUGCGCGCAGGGGCGUUGGAAUUCAUGGUGUAGCGGUGAAAUGCUCAGAUAUCAUGAAGAACUCCGAUCGCGAAGGCAGAUGCCCGGAGCGCAACUGACGCUGAGGCUCGAAAGUGCGGGUAUCAAAC